AUACUUACCUGGCAAGAGAAAUAGCCUGAUCACAAAGGUGGUUUUCCCAGGGCGAGGCUUAGCCAUUGCACUCCAGAUGUGCUGACCCCUGCAAAUGCGGGAAACUCACAUGCAUAAUUUGUGGUAGUGGAGGACUGCAUUUG
rnacentral:snRNA from 1 species